rnacentral:rRNA from 1 species
GACGAACCAAGCGAACAUUGUUCGGAAUCACUGGGCUUAAAGGGCGCGUAGGCGGGCUGUCAAGUCUGGGGUGAAAUCCCGCGGCUCAACCGCGGAACUGCCUCGGAUACUGACGGUCUCGAGGGGGGUAGGGGCGAGCGGAACUGAUGGUGGAGCGGUGAAAUGCGUUGAUAUCAUCAGGAACUCCGGUGGCGAAGGCGGCUCGCUGGACCUCUUCUGACGCUGAGGCGCGAAAGCUAGGGGAGCAAACGGG